GAUGAACGCUGGCGGCGUGCCUAAUACAUGCAAGUCGAGCGAACGGACGAGAAGCUUGCUUCUCUGAUGUUAGCGGCGGACGGGUGAGUAACACGUGGAUAACCUACCUAUAAGACUGGGAUAACUUCGGGAAACCGGAGCUAAUACCGGAUAAUAUUUUGAACCGCAUGGUUCAAAAGUGAAAGACGGUCUUGCUGUCACUUAUAGAUGGAUCCGCGCUGCAUUAGCUAGUUGGUAAGGUAACGGCUUACCAAGGCAACGAUGCAUAGCCGACCUGAGAGGGUGAUCGGCCACACUGGAACUGAGACACGGUCCAGACUCCUACGGGAGGCAGCAGUAGGGAAUCUUCCGAAAUGGGCGAAAGCCUGACGGAGCAACGCCGCGUGAGUGAUGAAGGUCUUCGGAUCGUAAAACUCUGUUAUUAGGGAAGAACAUAUGUGUAAGUAACUGUGCACAUCUUGACGGUACCUAAUCAGAAAGCCACGGCUACCUACG
rnacentral:rRNA from 1 species